UAAGCAUAUCAAUAAGCGGAGGAAAAGAAACCAACAGGGAUUGCCUUAGUAACGGCGAGUGAAGCGGCAACAGCUCAAAUUUGAAAUCUGGCUUCGGCCCGAGUUGUAAUUUGUAGAGGAUGUUUAUGGUGCGGUACCUUCCGAGUUCCCUGGAACGGGACGCCACAGAGGGUGAGAGCCCCGUCUGGUUGGAUACCAAACCUGUGUUAAACUCCUUCAACGAGUCGAGUAGUUUGGGAAUGCUGCUCUAAAUGGGAGGUAAAUCUCUUCUAAAGCUAAAUACUGGCCAGAGACCGAUAGCGCACAAGUAGAGUGAUCGAAAGAUGAAAAGCACCUUGAAAAGGGGGUUAAACAGUACGUGAAAUUGUUGAAAGGGAAGCGUUUAUGACCAGACUUGUGCCGUGUGGCUCAUCCGAGGUUCUCCCCGGUGCACUCCACACGGUUCAGGCCAACAUCGGUUUUCGCUGGGGGAUAAGAACAGUAGGAACGUAGCUCCCCUCGGGGAGUGUUAUAGCCUAUUGUACGAUACCCUGGUGGGGACCGAGGACCGCGCUUCGGCUAGGAUGUUGGCGUAAUGGUCAUUAGCGACCCGUCUUGAAACACGGACCAAGGAGUCGUCCAUUAGAGCGAGCGUUUGGGUGUAAAACCCGCACGCGUAAUGAAAGUGAAAUUAGGUGAGAGCUUCGGCGCAUCAUCGACCGAUCCUGAAGUUUACGGAUGGAUUUGAGUAAGAGUUUUAACGGACGGACCCGAAAGACAGUGAACUAUGCUUGAAUAGGGUGAAGCCAGAGGAAACUCUGGUGGAGGCUCGCAGCGGUUCUGACGUGCAAAUCGAUCGUCAAAUUUGAGCAUGGGGGCGAAAGACUAAUCGAACUGUCUAGUAGCUGGUUACCGCCGAAGU
rnacentral:rRNA from 1 species